UUGCAGCCAGUUAAGCUGACCAAGUAAGUCCCUUUCCCCAUGGGGUUUGGCGUGCACUGGUCACAGAUUGCAGCUACCCUGGGACUGUAUGCAGACUGAUGCCUACGCAGGCUGCCCAGAGGGACCUUGGAGACAAUU
ensembl:snoRNA Gm23233 small nucleolar RNA SNORA70